AUAUUAUAAUGAUUCUAAUAUACCAUGAAAAAGCUUGAAAUGCAUUAAUACAAUUGUAGAAUGUGGUCAGAAAUUUUAAAACAACACUAAAUAUUAUAGGAUUCAGUAUACAAUGUAUUUACCAAAAACUCAAUAUUUUCGGAGGUGUUAACACAUAGAUUUUGACAAAAAUUUUAAAAAAUAUAACAAUAUUGUUUUAAUGCAUAUUAUCAUCCUGCUCUAAGAUAUUAUGAUUUUCAAAGAGGUUUGGAGCCUUUGUUGUCUCUAUUUUUUCUAGAGAAUAUCGAUUUAAUAGUGUUUAUUCCACCGAUUUAGGGAGCAUUUUGAACUUUUACUAAAUUAAUUGAUAAAUAAAAUGAUAAUGGUUCCCAUAUUCCAUGAAAAAGCUUAAAAUACAUUAAUAGAAUUGUAUAAUGUGGUUAGAAAUUUUAAAAUAACACUAAAUAUUAUAGGAUUCAGUAUAUAAAACAUUUACCAAAAACUCAAUAUUUUCGUAGGGGGAUUAACACAUAGAUUUUGAGAAAAUUUCAAAAAAUAUGACAAUAUUGUUUUAAUGCAUAGUUGCAUCCUGGUCUAACAUAUUAUGAUGUUCAAAGAGGUUUGGAGCCUUUGUUGUCUUUAUUUUUUAGAGAAUAGCGAUUUAAUUGUGGUUAUUCCAUCGAUUUAGGGAGAAUUAUGAACUUUUACUAAAUUAAUUGAUAAAAAUAUUAUAAUGAUUCCAAUAUACCAUGACAAAGCUUAAAAUGCAUUAAUACAAUUGUAGAAUGUGGUUUGAAUUUUUAAAACAACACUAAAUAUUAUAGGAUUCAGUAUAUAAAACAUUUACCAAAAACUCAAUAUUUUCGUAGGGAUUAACACAUAAAUUUAAAAAAAUUUUAAAAAAUACAAAAAAAAUUUUAUUGAAUAGUUGCAUCUUGAACUAACGUAAGAUGAUGUUCGAAGAGGUUUGGAGGCUUUGUUGUCUCUGUUAUUGAAGAAAAUAUUGAUUUUGUUGUGGUUAUUCCAUCGAUUUAGGAAGUAUUAUGAAGUUUUACUAAAUUAAUUGAUAAAAAAUAUUAUAAUGAUUCUCAUAUACCAUGAAAAAACAUAAAAUACAUUAAUACAAAUGUAGGAUAUGGUUAGAAAUUUUAAAACAUCAC